rnacentral:ncRNA from 2 species
GACUUGGCGCAGUUUUCUGGUGCUCGCGCGCGGUCUCUUUCUGCGCGCAGUUAAACGGGAAGCAGGGAGCGCCGCCGGACAUUCGUGCGCGCCAACCUGCGCUGCCCCCGCAACGGUAAGCGAAAGUCGCGCAAUAUCAAAUCGCGCGGCAAAGCCGGCUUCGAACACCACUGCACGCGCAUUGCGUGCGGGAAGGUGAAGCGGCAUUUUCGCCAGCCCGGAUACCGGCCGGAACGAUGCAACUUCA